CUGCCGUGGGGGAGGGGAGCCCCGGAGCGGGGCCCGGAAUCCGGCCUCUGGGGACCCUGGAGUCCUGAGCGAACAAUGUGGGGGCCGAGAGGAGCGGAACUGCGUGCGGCGCUGCGCGAGCGGGCAGGCAAUCCCGGGCAGCGUUUGUGUGUGAGAGUGCAAUGGGAGCUCAGUCCCUCCCGCCUCCUCCGCCUCCUCCUCCUCUUCCUCCUCCUCCUCCUCCGUCUCCUCCUCCUCCCUCAAGCACACCCCGUCUCCCAGGCCACAGCAUAGCAACCGAACAUGGCGGCUGCGCAGACGCCGCCAGUCAGCAGCCAGGAACGGCGGUGGCGGCCACUGGAGGCGAUCUCGCGAGAGACGAGGCCAAGCCCCUUCCCCGCCAGCACCGGCUGGAAGAUGUUACACCAGCCCGAGAGCCGGGGGACGCGCAGGUGCGAGGGAGGCCGGACCUGGCUGGAGCCUCAACGUUGGAGGGGCAGGAAGAGGACACACUUUCUUUAGGGAAACUCCACAGGAUCUGGAUGUAAGAAGUCCAAAAUGGAUUGACAGAGGAGAUGGGAUGAAGAUGGUGGAAUAGAAGGAAUAGAGAUCAACCUCUUUCCUAAAAAUGAUAAAAUCUACAACCGAAUGCUGAGAAAUCUUCAACCAAAUGGACCAAAACCUUUCAAAAAGACAUCCUACUCCAGAAGACAAAGAGGAGGCCACAUCAAGAGUGGUACAAAAUUGAAUUGUUAAAAAUAUCUGACAAUUAGAGAUAGUCUAAAACAGCAAUAAAGUAAAAAUGUUAUCAUACUACAUAUUUUCUUAGUAUUAAGAAAUGGAAUUGCUUAUUCAAAUGAUUUUAAAUCAUUUGCUUAAUAGAAAUAAUUUUUACAUGAUAAGAAUAAAGUAGCAGAAUGA
rnacentral:lncRNA from 1 species